rnacentral:rRNA from 1 species
UCAGGUGCUGCAUGGCUGCGUCAGGCUCGUGUCGUGAGAUGUCGUUAAGUCCGCUAACGAGCGCAACCCUCGCUGUGUGUUACAAGUGUCACACGGAACUGCCGGUCAUAAACCGGAGGAAGGUGGGGAUGACGUCAAGUCAGCAUGGCCUUUAUAUCCUGGGCUACACACACGCUACAAUGGGAAGGGACAAUAGGUUGCGAAGCCGCGAGGCGGAGCCAAUCCAGCAAAACUUCCCUCAGUUCAGAUUGCAGGCUGCAACCCGCCUGCAUGAAGUUGGAGUUGCUAGUAAACGCAGGUCAGCCAUACUGCGUUGAAUACGUUCCCGGGGCUU